AAAAUAAUUGGAGCCUUUUCAAAAUCAUCAGAAGCCCCAAGAAAUAGUGAUAGUGAGUUCACUAGUAUAAUAUAUUUGAUCAAUCUUUCUAUUAUUUCAUGUUUAUUAGUAAAAAAAAAAAUUAAGAUAAUAAGCGUAACAGCAUGGUGGUUGCAUUAUAUAAUUGAAGUCCGCAGAAAGCUGCAGCUAAAUUCUUCAUCCCUCUUGAAUUCCCUCGACUCUCCUCUGAUUUCAGAUGACGGUAUGGGGAAUGUUGUAGUUAAGAAUUGCAUGGUAGUUAAUUUUUGAAUGAACAAUUUGAUGAUUGUUUUCAAAAUCGUAAAUUUUGCUCAAUCCAUCCAAAUCAAUGAUAGAAUCGAAAAACAUGCAAAAUCGUGGUAAGAUCGCAGCAAAAUCGCAUAAAAUUUUGAAAUCACUACAAAAUUGCAAGUUUGUACGAUUUUGAAGGAUUUUGAGCAUUUUUUGAUAAGGGUCAAGUUGUUUCCAUUUCGUUAUUCUUCGUCAAGCUCUUAUUUUGUAUAGUAGUGAUGAAUUUGGUGAUGAUGAUGAGGGAGGAAAUAAUGAGAUUGAUGAAAAUGAAGGUGUUGAUCUGAUUGGGGAUGAUCCGUAGAAUUGGUG
rnacentral:lncRNA from 1 species